rnacentral:rRNA from 1 species
GACGAACCGUGCGAACGUUGUUCGGAUUCACUGGGCUUAAAGGGCGCGUAGGCGGUCGGCCAAGUCUGGGGUGAAAUCUUUCGGCUCAACCGGAAAAGUGCCCCCGAUACUGGCCGUCUAGAGGGAGGUAGGGGCAUGUGGAACUUCCGGUGGGAGCGGUGAAAUGCGUAGAUAUCGGAAGGAACGCCGGUGGCGAAAGCGACGUGCUGGACCUCAUCUGACGCUGAGGCGCGAAAGCCAGGGGAGCAAACGGG